rnacentral:rRNA from 1 species
AGAAUCAACGCUGGCGGCGUGCCUAACACAUGCAAGUCGAACGCGAAAGUCCCGAAAGGGAUAAGUAGAGUGGCAAACGGGUGAGUAACACGUGGGUGACCUGCCUUCGAGCGGGGGAUAACGUCCCGAAAGGGACGCUAAUACCGCAUAACAUCCUGCCUUUUAAGAGGUGGAGAUCAAAAGCCGGGGACCGCAAGGCCUGGCACUUGAAGAGGGGCCCGCGUCUGAUUAGCUAGUUGGUGGGGUAAUGGCCUACAAGGCAACGAUCAGUA